rnacentral:rRNA from 1 species
GACGAACCGUACGAACGUUAUUCGGAAUCACUGGGCUUAAAGGGUGCGUAGGCGGCGCGACAAGUUGGGUGUGAAAUCCCUCGGCUCAACCGAGGAACUGCGCCCAAAACUGUCGUGCUCGAGGGAGACAGAGGUGAGCGGAACUUAGGGUGGAGCGGUGAAAUGCGUUGAUAUCCUAAGGAACACCGGUGGCGAAAGCGGCUCACUGGGUCUCUUCUGACGCUGAGGCACGAAGGUCAGGGGAGCAAACGGG